GCACCACAACGGGUGGAGCUUGCGGUUUAAUUGGAUUCAACGCCGGAAAUCUUACCGGGACCGACAGCAAUAUGAAGGCCAGGCUGAAGACUUUGCCGGAUUAGCUGAGAGGUGGUGCAUGGCCGUCGUCAGUUCGUACUGUGAAGCAUCCUGUUAAGUCAGGCAACGAGCGAGACCCACGCCCACAGUUGCCAGCGUACUCUCUGGAGUGACGGGUACACUGUGGGACCGCCGCUGCUAAAGCGGAGGAAGGAAUGGGCAACGGUAGGUCAGUAUGCCCCGAAUAUCCCGGGCUACACGCGAGCUACAAUGGUUGGUACAAUGGGUAUCUACCCCGAAAGGGGACGGGAACCUCCUAAAACCAAUCUUAGUUCGGAUUGAGGGCUGCAACUCGCCCUCAUGAAGCUGGAAUCCGUAGUAAUCGCGUUUCAACAGAACGCGGUGAAUACGUCCCUGCUCCUU
rnacentral:rRNA from 1 species